rnacentral:snRNA from 1 species
AUAAUGAGAAUGAUCUGGCUGUGAGGUCUGUCACCUCAUUGAUUGGCAGGAUUGACUCAGGUUAUCUGACUGACUAACUGGGAGUCCCCUCCUUCUCUCACUGCUGUGUGUGUGUUCUUCUCAAAGCUAUGCACUUGGCAAAAGAGGACAAUCAUCUCUGAUAGGAGGAGGGCACAAUUCUUCGAUUAAGGGCGUACAAUAACUGCACUCCCAGUUAGAACUUCUAAAUAAUAGCUAAUACUACAGGAAUACACCAGUGAUAAAUAUAGUCCUGUUGGUCCAGCAAGACCUGAUUUGAACAAGAAGGUACCUUCAGGGGUUU